rnacentral:lncRNA from 1 species
GAACACAAAAUGGCGACACGUGGUUAGCAUUCGUCGCCAACGAGAAAUUGGGGUCGGCCCGAAAGCUCUAGAAUGCACCCCUCUUCCUCCCCGGGGCCUUCCACCUCCGCGAGUUUUAUGACUUAAAAAAGCCCACAGGCUGGUCUGAAGACUUCCUAGCAUGGGCUGUUGUGCUGGAGAGAACGAGAGCUACGAAGAGACUACAGUGCCUCUGACUUUUUCAUAGGACAGUUGGCCGAGGAAGACAAACAUAAAGAUGAAGUGCUUAAUUCAAGGUCACACAAUGUCGGGGAUGGACCUCCAGAUUUCCUUACUGGAAAACAAGCUCAGGGCUCCCACUGAUUGUACAUUAUGAGACGGAGUCUUGCUAUGUUGCCCAGGCUGGUCUUGAACUCCUCACCUCAAGCGAUCCUCCCGUCUUGGCCUCCCAAGUGUCAGGAUUACGGGCAUGUGCUAUCACACCCAACCUGAUACAUUGCCUUUAUAAAUUUUUUUUUCUUUAUUCUAAAAACCAGAAAAAACAAAACUGGAUACAUGUGCAGAACAUGCAGGUUUGUUACAUAGCUGUACGUGUGCCAUGGUGGUUUGCUGCACCUAUUGACCUAUCCUGUAAGUUCCCUCCCCUCACCCCCACCCCCCAACAGCCCU